GGAGUGAUUUGGAGCGAAUCCCAAAAAUAACGUCUCAGUUCGGAUUGUAGUCUGCAACUCGACUACAUGAAGCUGGAAUCGCUAGUAAUCGCGAAUCAGCAUGUCGCGGUGAAUACGUUCCCGGGUCUUGUACACACCGCCCGUCACACCAUGGGAGUUGGAAAUGCCCGAAGUCAGUUGCCCAACCGAAAGGAGGGAGCUGCCGAAGGCAGGUUCGAUAACUGGGGUGAAGUCGUAACAAGGUAUC
rnacentral:rRNA from 1 species